GGGCGAUUAACUCAGUUGGCAGAGUACCUCGUUUACACCGAGGUUGUCGCAGGUUCGAGCCCUGCAUCGCCCACCA
rnacentral:tRNA from 1 species